AUUGAACGCUGGCGGCAGGCUUAACACAUGCAAGUCGAGCGAGCGGCGGACGGGUGAGUAAUGUCUGGGAACCUGCCUGAUGGAGGGGGAUAACUACUGGAAACGGUAGCUAAUACCGCAUACCAUCAGAUGUGCCAAGAUGGGAUUAGCUAGUGGGUGGGGUAAAGGCUCACCAAGGCGACGAUCCCUAGCUGGUUUGAGAGGAUGACCAGCCACACUGGAACUGAGACACGGUCCAGACUCCUACGGGAGGCAGCAUUGGGGAAUAUUGCACAAUGGGCGAAAGCCUGAUGCAGCCAUGCCGCGUGUGUGAAGAAGGCCUUCGGGUUGUAAAGCACUUUCGGCAGGGAGGCGUUACUCGCAGAAGAAGCACCGGCUAACUCCGUGCCAGCAGCCGCGGUAAUAC
rnacentral:rRNA from 1 species